CUGAUGUUAGCGGCGGACGGGUGAGUAACACGUGGGUAACCUACCUAUAAGACUGGGAUAACUCCGGGAAACCGGGGCUAAUACCGGAUAAUAUUUUGAACCGCAUGGUUCAAUAGUGAAAGACGGUUUCGGCUGUCACUUAUAGAUGGACCCGCGCCGUAUUAGCUAGUUGGUAAGGUAACGGCUUACCAAGGCGACGAUACGUAGCCGACCUGAGAGGGUGAUCGGCCACACUGGAACUGAGACACGGUCCAGACUCCUACGGGAGGCAGCAGUG
rnacentral:rRNA from 1 species